rnacentral:rRNA from 1 species
GUACAUCUCGUAGUGGCAACACUUGGGGUGUGCUAGUGGCGAACGGGUGAGUAACACGUGAGGAACUUGCCCCGGACUCUGGGAUAACAGGUGGAAACACCUGCUAAUACCGGAUGCCAUCGGUGGAUCGCAUGGUCUACCGAUGAAAGAAUUUCGGUCCGGGAUGGCCUCGCGGCCUAUCAGCUAGUUGGUGGGGUAAUGGCCUACCAAGGCAUCGACGGGUAGCUGGUCUGAGAGGAUGAUCAGCCACACUGGGACUGAGACACGGCCCAGACUCCUACGGGAGGCAGCAGUAGGGAAUCUUGCGCAAUGGGCGAAAGCCUGACGCAGCAACGCCGCGUGCGGGAAGAAGGCCUUCGGGUUGUAAACCGCUUUUAGCAGGAACGAAAAUGACGGUACCUGCAGAAUAAGGUGCGGCCAACUACGUGCCAGCAGCCGCGGUGACACGUAGGCACCAAGCGUUGUCCGGAUUUAUUGGGCGUAAAGAGCUCGUAGGCGGU